GAUGAACGCUAGCUACAGGCUUAACACAUGCAAGUCGAGGGGCAGCAUGGAAGAAGCUUGCUUCUUCUGAUGGCGACCGGCGCACGGGUGCGUAACGCGUAUCAAACCUGCCUCAUACUCGGGGAUAGCCUUGCGAAAGUAAGAUUAAUACCCGAUGUUGUUAUGUUACCGCAUGGUGACAUAACCAAAGAUUUAUCGGUAUGAGAUGGUGAUGCGUCCGAUUAGGUAGUAGGCGGGGUAACGGCCCACCUAGCCUUCGAUCGGUAGGGGUUCUGAGAGGAAGGUCCCCCACACUGGAACUGAGACACGGUCCAGACUCCUACGGGAGGCAGCAGUGAGGAAUAUUGGUCAAUGGACGAAAGUCUGAACCAGCCAAGUAGCGUGCAGGAUGACGGCCCUCUGGGUUGUAAACUGCUUUUAGUUGGGAAUAAAAAAGAGGACGUGUCCUCU
rnacentral:rRNA from 2 species